rnacentral:lncRNA from 1 species
AAUAUAAUAAAAAUAUUCAAUAAAAUAUUCUAUUUUCUUAUAAAACAAUAUUUAUAGAGUUAUCGGUAAAUAAUUUUUGUAGCGUAAAGCUAAAUAAAUUCAUACAUACUGUAAUACAAAUAACCAAAGCAUAAGAUUUAAUUUACAAUGACACGUGGGCCCACGAACGACCAAAAGUAUCAAAAGCGGUAAACCUACAGUUUUUGAGGAUGCAAGUCCAACUAUAGCCCUCAACAAAGUGAGCUAUCUAACGACUAUCCUGAGCCUGAAAUGGGUGGAAAGGAGGGUGGUGAGAUUAUAUAAUCCCAGUAAGUAAACAAAUACCAUCUAAAAUAUCUAAAGCCGAGUAAAUAGAGACAGAUAAAAUAAUUUAACAUACUGUAAUUCAUCACCUUUCAACUUGUUUCAACCAAAUAAAAUCAAUUCAUAUAAAUCGAGUAAUCAACAUGGCUUAUGAAUUUCUUAAAACUUUGGCUCGUGCCAAAAUCAUUCUCAUACUCAGUUAUCAAGGAUACCUUGGCCUGGGGCUAUCCCAAUCGAGUUCGCCAAGGCUGUUAAAAAGUCAUGUACGCAUAAAUCAUAUUUUUAUUUUGAAAACAUAGCCAUUCAUUGACGUUGGCUGAGUUCACCCUCAUGUGGUGGUUUGGCAGGAAGUGAACUCUAAAGAUGUACCUAGGGAGUUACCCUACACGCCUCUCCGACCGAGGUAAGAAUAUAAUGGGGUUACCGUGCCCCUCUAAUAGGCUGGUCCACGGAACCCGCCCACUGCAACAAGCUAAACCCACCAAUUUAAUAAAAUCUCAACCGCAUGACAUGGCAAUUAUAUCACAAUCCAGCCUCUCAAGGCUAAAUACACAGUUCAUAUAUUUCAACACAAAUACCAAUUCUGCCAUUCAUGCAAAUAUUGUCAUAAGCCAUUCGAUUCAAACCAUGAAUUUACAACAAAUGAAAAUAGUCUCUAGUUACUAUCAAGCCUGAUUCUAUAAAAUACUUGCCAUGUCAUUCAUGAGAUUGACAAUACGCUUGCAUACUAGGAAAGCCCCAAAAAAUCGUAAAAAGUCGGUAGUGUACUUAAUAAUACAACUAAGUUGAAUUAAGCCUCGAACUAGAUCAAAUGAAGAUUUUAAGGUGAAAUUUAAAAUUUUAAAUUCUCAAAAGAACUUAAAAUGGUGAUUCGGAGUUCGAGGACCGAUAUGGAGUCAAAUUGGAAUUUUUAUGAUUUGGGGGCAAAAUGGACAUUUCGCCACCCGAGGUUAAGAUGUGAGAGUUAGAUGAAUUUUUGACUAAGAUUGACUAUUUAGAACAUAAUUUGAGUUUGAGAAGUGAAAAAUUUUAAUUCCGACACUUUUCCGAGCAUAGGAUUAAAAUAGUCAUUUUGCCACCCCAAGGGCAAAAUUGUAAUUUUACACCACCUAACACUUGUCCAGCAUAUGGAUUUUACUCAAUAUUGUCAUGGAUAAUUGAGGAAAUUUAAGUGGUGGAGAGAGAUUGCUUAAUGGGUAAGUAUGACACAUGGACUAAUGGAAUGGUGACAUGUGUCAAGUUUAUAUCCAUUAAAUAUUUGGCUUAAAAAUUAGCACAUAAAUCAGCCCAUUUCUCUUCAUAUGACCGGCCAAAGGAAGAACAAAGAAAGAAAAGAACGAACACAAUGCCUAGGUGGGAAAAUUGAAGAAAAAGUGUGGGAUUUCAAGGGAUUAAGCUAAUAAAGGUAAAAUUUUGUGAUUUUAUCUUGUGAUUUACACUACCCAUGCUUUCUUUUUCAUUUUCCAUGCUUAGAACUCAAGUUUGCAUGAUGAACCAAUGCUGGCCAAAUUUGAGAGGAGAGGUUUUGAGCAUUGAUUUUGCUAGAUUUCAUGCUAAUUAAGUGUUUUUGGUUGUUUGGUAAUGGAAAGUAUGAAAAUCUAGCAAGGAAUCACUUUGUUCUUCACAAACCCACAAGAUGCUGAAUUUUCUAGGGAGGAUAUUGAGGCUGAAAUUGAUGAUAUUUCAUGAUAUUUUGGUGGUAUUUAAUGAUUGGUGAGGCUAGAAAUUUAAUGGAAAAUUUUGGCAUGAAAAUAUGAAUUUUUACCUAAUGUAUAGACAUGUGCGAUUUAUGGUUCAAACUUAUAAAUUGAAUCAUAUUCACAGUCAUUGAGGUAUUUUAAGUAUAAUUGGAGUGUAGAAAGUGAAAGAAAUCGAUUUUGAGUUAAAUUGGAGGUUUUAGCCAAUUUUACCGAGAAUAGUGCGAAUUAGGUUGAAUACCAUAUUUAAACGGCUAUUCGGACAUUUUGCAUCACAUUUUCUGCAUUCAUAUAGAUUUAUAGAGCCCAAAAUAGUUUAUGAUAAAUUGAAACAAAUUAUUAAAAUUCGUGUCAUGAAUGAUGUUAGGUGGUGAAUCCUCCACUAAGGGCAAAGAAAUUAUACCCGAGGAUCGAUAGUCAAAGUACUCUAGAAAUUCGACUCCCGAAAUAGUGAGUAACCUUAUCAUCAUUUUAAUUAUCUAAAGUGGUCUUUUUAUUCGAUUUUGUGAAUUUUAUGGAAAAUGAAUUAAAUGAUUAAUUUUUCAAUUUUAUAAAUAAAAUGUGAUUUAAUGAAAUGAUUUCAUAAAAUUGUCUUGAAAUUGAAUGAUGGCUUUGAAAAUAGAGUAACUGGAGACCACUUGAUGUGUUGUAAUUUAUGGUUUUAAUUGAUGGCUUAUGAUUAUGUGUUGGCAUGACUGGCUGGAAUUGUGGUUUGUGAACUGUAUGAAUUGUUCUGUUUUACAUUUACAGGCUGGGUAGUAUAAUAUUAGUCAUGUUAUGCUGUCAAAAUUUUAUUAUAUGGUGGGUUUAGCUUGCUGCAGUGGGCGAGUUCUGUGGACUAGCCUUUUUGAGGGGCACAAAAUUCGGUUAUAUAUGUACCUCGAUCGGAGAGGCACGUAAGGUAUCUCUUGAGGUAUGGUUAGAGUUCACGUCACGCCGCACAACCUCGUGAUGAUGAACUCUGCUAACGCCAAGGAACGACUGUGUUUUUCAAACUAAAAAUAUGUUUAUGUGUAUACAAAAUUAUUUAACCGCCUUAGCAGACUCGGUUAAAUGCCUCGACCAAAGUAUUCCCGAGAAUGAUUUUGGCAGGAGCCAAGCUUUUGAGAUACUCAUAAGCCAUAUUGAUCAUUUAAAUGAAAUGAAUAUUUAUCUUAUGAAAUACAUACUGAGAUGGAAUAUUUUAAUUGUCUCAAUUUACUUGACUUUAGAUAUUUUGAAUGGUGUUUGUUUACUCACUGGGAUUAUAUAAUCUCAUGACCCUCUUUUCCACCCAUUUCAGGCUCAGAAUAGGCUGUAGAUAGCUGAUUUCAUCGAGGGCUAUCAUUGGAUUUGCAUCCUCCAAACUGUAGGUUCACAGUCUUUUCUUAUUUUUGGUUAUUCGAGGGCUCACUCAUUAUUGUAAAUUAAGUUAAAUACUCUGGCUUACUGUAUUACAGUAUGUAUGAAUUUAUUUAGUUUUUACGCUACAAAAACUAUUUACCGAUAACUUUAUAAAUAUUGUUUUAUAAGAAAAUAGAAUAUUUUAUUGAAUAUUUUUAUUAUAUUCAAAUAAUCGUAAUUUCAUUUUAAAUGAAGGUUUUAGAUGUUUAAACUUAUUUUUGAUUAUGAAUUAUGUGUUUUGUACUUGCUUACUACAUUUUUAGCGGAUUUCGAGAUUUUUGAAGAAAAAUGACCAAAAUGCCUCUAUGAGGAAAAAAUUAUUUUUCUAUUGUUUUGAAUUGGAAAUAGUUUACAAUCUCUCAAAACAUGAUUUUAGUAACUAAUACUCACGGGGGAAGCAAGAAAAAUUGAUAUUAAGCCUUACGAGGUUUCGAUUGACAUUCCGGGUAAUAAAUGUCUAUCAGGACGUCGCGGUGGUUGUCACGGGCUCGAUGGGAGUUUCGAGUCAUGACAAUUUGAUUGGUAUCAGAGCUUUUGGUUUUAAGAUCAGAGUUUUUAGUUUUAAAGUUUUUUAAAAAUUUACAGUGUCAGUGUGGCCCCGGGUUAAGUUGGGUUAGGUUGAAUAGAAUGCAUGCAUCUGCAUAUAGAGCCUGAGGUUGCCUAAACUUGCUUGUUUCCUUUUAUAGAUUAUCAUGCCUCCUUGACGUGGACGCCCACCUCUCUCUAGAUUAGUCGGGAGGGGAAGAGGUUGUUCUCAACAUAAUCAGCCAGAUCCUGUAGAGGAGGGAUCGACUGCAUCCACCAUUCUAACAGCACAUGCUGCUGAGUAGGUCGAGACUCCUCCACAUUCUCCACAUUCUUCACAUCCUCCGCUACCUAUUGGUACUCCUGCCAUGUCUCCAAAGGCAGUCCAAGCAUUGACAGCCUUCUUUACCGCUAUUGCUGGCCAGGCUCCUCCUAUAGUACCACCAGUUGCUCUUUCAGUACCACCACCCCCACCUCCAGUUCCAUCGCUAAUACAGGAUGUAUCUAUUGCUAAGAAGUGGAAGGAAACUAGACAACUGGGUUGCGUUUCUUUUACGGGUGAUUGGGAUGCAACCAUAGCCAAAGAUUGGAUUAAUCAGGUUUUGGAGACACUGUCUGAUAUGAGGUUGGAUGAUGACCUGAAGUUGAUGGUGGCCACGAGAUUAUUAGAGAAGAGAGCCCGUACAUGGUGGAAUUCAAUAAAAUCCCGUUCCACUACUCCUCUGACCUGGUCAGACUUUCUAAGAGAAUUUGAUGGUCAAUAUUUUACUUAUUUCCAUUAGAAAGAAAAGAAGAGAGAAUUUUUGAGUUUGAAAUAGGGAAACUUAACGGUAGAGGAUUACGAGGCUUGUUUUAACGAGCUGAUGUUAUAUGUGCCGGAUCUGGUGAAAUUUGAGCAGGAUCAGGCUAGUUAUUUCGAGGAAGGGCUUCGUAAUGAGAUUAGAGAGAUGAUGACAGUGAUUGGUAGGGAGCCACAUAAAGAGGUGGUACAGAUGGCUUUAAGGGCCGAAAAGCUUGCAAAUGAAAAUAGGAGAAUGCGAGCUGAGUUUGCAAAAAGAAGAAACCCGAGUGUAUCUUUCAAUCAGCCACCAAAAAGGGGCAAAGACUCAUCUGCUUCAGGGAGUACUACCUCUAUUUUAGUGACAUCUCCUCGACUUCCAUUUUCACAGACACAGCAGAGGCCUCUGAGAUUCAGCAGAUCUGCGAUGACUUAUUCUAGGAAGAGUUUCGGAGGUUUUGAUAGAUGCAAGAAGUGUGGGAGAAAUCAUGUUGGGCAAUGUAAGGGACCAGUACGAUGUUAUCAUUGUGAUCAGCUAGGCCACAUUAAGAGUGAGUGCCCACAGCUAGGAUGGGCUAUUGCAAUUACUCCAUAUCCACCAGCUCGUACGGAUAUGCAGAGGAGAGAUCCUUUUAGGUUACCACUGAGGUGGGGAGUAGCUAUACGGUCUGGUGUAGAGAGUAACACCCUAGCAUAUCCACCUUCGAGACUUCGACAAGAGUCUUCGCUGUGACAGAAGAUGAGGCAUGGGUCUAACCUGAAACAGUGACAAGUAUUAUGUCUUUAUUUGAUAAAGAUGCUUAUGUUUUGAUAGAUUCUGGCUCAGAUAGGUCUUAUGUGAGUAUGGCAUUUGCAUCAAUUGCUGAUAGAAACUUGUCACCAUUAGAGGAAGAAAUUGUAGUUCACACCCUUUUAGGAGAAAAACUAGUUAGAAACAGUUGUUAUAGAGAUUGUGGAGUAAUGGUUGGUGAGGAAGAAUUUAGGGGUGACUUGAUUCCUCUAGAAAUCCAAGAUUUUGAUUUGAUAUUGGGUAUGGACUGGUUAACUGCACAUCGGGCGAAUGUGGAUUGUUUUCGGAAAGAAGUUAUUUUUUAGAAUUCAGAGGGAGCAGAGAUUGUUUUCGUAGGGAAACAUCGAGUAUUACCAUCUUGUGUAAUCUCGACCAUCAAAGCUUUGAAAUUGGUACAGAAAGGGUAUUCGGCAUACUUAGCACACGUGAUUGAUACUUUGAAAGGGGAACCUAAAUUAGAGGAUGUCCCAAUAGUUAGUGAGCUUCCUGAUGUAUUCCCUAAUGAGUUACCGGGACUACCUCCUGAGCAAGAGCUUGAGUUCCCUAUUGAUUUACUUCUGGGUACCGCACCUAUUUCUAUCAUUCCAUAUCGAAUGGCUCUGGUAGAGUUGAAGGAACUAAAAGUUUAGCUGCAAGAUUUGGUGGAUAAGGAUUUUAUUCGCCCUAGCAUUUCUCCUUGGGGAGCACCAGUCUUAAUUGUAAAGAAGAAGGAUGGCACUCUUUGAUUGUGUAUCAAUUACCGUCAAUUGAACCGAGUGACCAUCAAGAAUAAAUACCCUUUAUCACUGAUCGAUGAUCUUUUCGAUCAAUUACGAAGGACUAUGGUAUUUUCUAAGAUUGAUUUGAGGUUUGGGUAUUAUCAAUUGAAGAUUAAGGAGCAUGAUGUACCCAAGACUGCUUUUAGGACGCGUUAUGGGCAUUAUGAAUUUUUGGUUGUGCCGUUUGGUCUGACUAAUGCCCUGACAGCUUUUAUGGAUCUUAUGAACAGGGUGUUUCAUCCAUACUUAGAUAAGUUCGUGAUAGUCUUCAUAUAUGACAUCUUGGUUUAUUCGAAGAAUGAUGAUGAGCAUGCUGCCCAUUUACGCAUUGUGUUGCAAACUUUGCAUGAGACACAACUUUAUGCCAAGUUCUUUAAAUGUGAGUUUUGGUUAAAGGAAGUGGUUUUCUUUGGACAUGUGGUGUCCAAAGCUGAAUUUUAUGUCGAUCCCAAGAAGAUUGAGGCAAUCUUACAAUGAGAGCAACCGAGAAUGGUAACUGACAUUCGUAGUUUUCUUAGCUUAGCCGGUUAUUAUCAGAGAUUUGUUCAGGGAUUUUCAUUAAUUGCUACUCCUUUAACUCGUCUAACUCAUAAAGGAGUUAAGUUGGAGUGGGAUGAUGUUUGUGAGAGUCGAUUUCAAGAGCUAAAGUACCGGUUAACCUCUGCUCCCAUUUUAACACUUCCUGUUGGUGGAAAAGAAUUUGUGGUAUACAGUGAUGCCUCUAAGUUGGGAUUAGGGUGUGUAUUUCUAAGACCUUGACCUUUAUAGACUCGUAAAGGGAAGUAUACGCGAUAUCCCUAAUCAAGGGUAAUUUCGUCAUUUCCUUAGUAAGUCCAUAAAAGUAAGAUUUUAAAUAAUUUUAUGGCCUAAGUAGGCCUAAGGCAUAAAUGGAUGAUGAAUUUAGGGGUAAAAUAAAAAGGAAACAAAAAUUUUGAUGAUUUUCACAAUAAGGGCAAAAUGGUCAUUUUUCACCUCAAGUUAAAAUUUUAAGUUUUCAUGAACCCCAGUAUGUCUAGACCAUUAUGGACCUUGUCCCAGUGUUAAAAGAACAAAAAGAGUGCAUAAAAGAUUGAAGGAGAAUAAGUUAAUUUGUGGAGGGGUAAUUUGGUAAUUUCAAGAGAAUGGAUAAAUUUGAGCUAUAAAUAUCUUGUUUACAGCAGCUUCUUCUCCCAUUUUCUAGCAGCUUUUUUCUUCUUCUUCCUUCUUCUCUUUCACAUUGCUUCUAACCUCCAUGGAAGCUUGAUGUGGAGCUUGCAUGAUUUUCUCUUUCUAGCUCUAGUUUUCAUACCUUUGUGCCCUUAUGACUAGAACCCUUGUAUUCUUCCACUCUCUCUCCUUAAAACCCUUGAAAAAUCUUAUUUUCAUACUUUCUCUCACUAACUGGGCAUUCUAGAGAGAGAAAGAGAGAAUUACCCCAUUUGUGUGGAAGCUAUUAGAAGAAAAUUUGACUACAAAGGAACCCUAGGGUUAGUGAUGAACUAAGCUUGAUUUUUAGCUGUGAAUAAUGGCUAGUAAUUUAGAAUAUGAACUGUUUUAUUGUUGAGGAUGUUCAUUCAUUUUAUAAUGAUUUAGUUAGUGAACAUAGAUAGCCAUUUAAAGUGACAAUUGAAAGCUAGUUUAGACAUAGCUUUUAGGGUUUAUAGUAUGUGAAUUAACAUAAUGGUGAUGUUAAUGUAAUGGUAGGUUUCAAGGAAGCCCCAUCAUCCCAUUUGGAUAAUUAGGGGAAUUGGAGUCAUCUAAAGGCUCAACAAUAUAUCGGUGAGUGGACUGCUUAUCAAAAUUAUUUUGGUAAUAUGACCGUUUUGUACAAAGUAUUUGAAUGAUUCUAUACAACUUUUGUUAAAACAAGUGCCUUGGGAACAAUCCUUUGAUAAAUCAAUUUUAUGUUAUGACAUGUGGUUAUCAUGAAUCUCUAUGCUGCAACGUUAUGUUGAUAUACAUAUAUGUUUGAAUAUAGUGUUGUGUAAUUAUAUUGACUCGGCUAUGUGCGAGUAGGGAGUGCGCAUAAGUCGAGGAUGACCCGGUUAUGUGCGAGUAGGGAGUGUGCAAACCCGGUGAUGACCCAGCCAUGUGCGAGUAGGGAGUGCGCAUGAGCUGGUGAUGAUGAUGAUGUGAUGGUGCAUGAUGAUGAUGGGUAUAUGUAUACAUAUAUACAUAUGUAAAUAUGUGUGUUGUAGGAAAUUUAUGAGUAAUGGUAUAUGGUUUUAAUGCAUGUGAAACUUGACAUGUUAAACUUUGAAAAAUUGUCAUGCAUUUCAUGUUAGUUUGGACAUUUCAGCAAGGUAGUUUUUCUUUGGGAAGAAGGGCAAAUUUUUCAUUGGUGCCUUGUUUCUCGCUGCAGCGAGAAUCAUUUUCGCUGCAACAAGAAACUCUCUAGUUUGGAGGGGUAGACUGGCCGAAAACUCGCUACAGCAAGAAUGACAUUGUAGCUUCUCGUUGUAGCGAAAUCCAUUCUCGCUACAACAAGAAACUUUCUGUUUCUGGGUCACAAUUUCGCUGCAGCGAGAUUCAAUCUCACUACAGCGAAAAACUUUCUGUUUUGUCUCCUAUCUUGUCUAAUUGCUGCCUUAUUUUUCACUUAUUUGCUACCAUAUCUGAGCAUGGACUUCCAACAUUAAGGACUAAAUGAGUUAAGUUUAAAAUGAAGAGGUUUAGUGAGAAACCCUCGGCCAGUUGAGAAACUCUCGUUCGACUAAUAACUUAAUCCCAACGUCGCUGCAGCGAGAAUGCCUUUCCGCUGCAGCGAAAAUUCGUUGUCAUAUUUGACUUGCUUACGUAUCAUUGAAGCUUUCAUUAUUCAAAUGGUUCGUUAUGUAUGGAUUCAUGAUUCUCAAAUGAUUAAUCAUUUAAGGGCUUGAUGAGGGCUUUUUAAUAUGAAUGGAACUAAAUUGAAUUGUUUUGAAACAAGUGCAUCAUGAUUUUAAAUUCUCCCUUGUUGUUGCUUGUUCCUUUCCUUAUUCACUCACUGGGUUUAUACUCACCAUUUUCAACUUAAUGUUUUUAGAUCACGAUGGCAGCCAGAAACUAGGACGAGGUAUCCUUGUAGACUUGUAUCCAUCUUUUGGUAGGUGUCUCGGCAUUUAGUAGCUGUACAUUCGUCCGAGUCGCUCCGCUGGAAGUCGAGUAUUCUUUUGUUGUGUAUAGACAAAUCUAAUGUAAAUUAUUAAGAUACAUGUUGUAGGUAAUGUAUAUACACUUGUUUGGUAUGCCAAUAUGAGGUGGCAAUAUUUAAUAUUAUUUUGAUUCUAAGUUAUGAAAUAUGACUUAGUAGUUUAUGAUGGAAUGAUGAACAUGUCAGAUUAAUAGGCUUGCUUGGGCUUAAUGGACUACGUCUAUUGGGCCCUUACGUCGGUCAUGGCCCGAAAAUUGGGUUGUGACAAUAUUGAUGUAGGAUGAAAAAGUAAUAGCUUAUGCUUCCUGGCAAUUGAAGAAGCAUGAGAUGAAUUACCCUACCCACGAUUUGGAGUUAGCAGCAGUAGUUUUUGCAUUAAAGAUUUGGAGACAUUAUUUAUAUGGUGAGCGUUGUCGGAUUUUUAGUGAUCAUAAAAGUUUGAAAUACUUGCUCACCCAGAAAGAGCUUAACUUGAGACAGAGACGAUGGUUGGAGUUGAUUAAGGAUUAUGACUUAGUGAUUGAUUAUCAUCCGAGAAAGGCAAAUGUUGUAGCGGAUGCCUUAAGUCGUAAAUCCUCAUCGUCGUUAGCAGCGCUUCAGACUUUUUAUUUUUCGAUGUUACUUGAGAUGAAAUCUCUAGGGAUCCAUUUGAAUAAUGGUGAGGAUGGAACCCUACUUGCUAGUUUCGUUGUGAGACCUUCAUUGUUGAAUCAGAUUAGAGAAUUGCAAAAAUCCGAUGAUUGGUUGAAGCAGGAAGUUCAAAAGCUGCAAGAUAGAGAAACUAGCGAAUUUAGACUCAGUGAUGAUGGUACUUUGAUGCUUCGAGAUCGGAUUUAUGUUCCUAAAGAUGACCAGUUGAGAUGAGCUAUUUUAGAGGAAGCUCAUUCUUUCGCCUACGCUUUACAUCCCAGAAGCACCAAGAUGUAUCAAACUAUUAAAGAAAGUUAUUGGUGGCCGGGUAUGAAACUAGACAUAGCAGAGUUUGUAGCAAAAUGUCUCACAUGCCAACAUAUUAAGGCGGAGCAUAAAAAACCAUCAGGUACUCUUUAGCAUUUACCGAUUCCAGAAUGGAAGUGGGAACACGUGACUAUGGACUUUGUAUUGGGUUUACCACGGACACAGAGUGGGAAGGAUGCUAUUUGGGUGAUUGUGGAUAGAUUGACUAAGUCCGCCCAUUUCUUGGCUAUCCAUAAACGUAUUCCACUGAGAAACUGGCAAAACUUAAUAUAGAUGAGAUUGUGAGAUUACGCGGAGUUUCAGUUUCUAUUGUGUCAGAUCGAUACCCUCGGUUUACUUCUUGAUUUUGGUCAAAAUUUCAGGAAGCUCUCGAAACUAAAUUGAGAUUUAGUACUGCUUUUCAUCCGCAGACUGAUGGUCAAUCCGAAAGGACUAUUCAGACUCUAGAAGAUAUGUUACAGGCUUGUGUCAUUGACUUUAUUGGGAGUUGGGACAGACACUUUCCAUUGGUGGAGUUCGCGUAUAGUAAUAGUUUUCAGUCUAGUAUUGGGAUGGCACCAUACGAGGCUCUAUAUGGAAGGAAAUGCUGAACUCCACUCUGUUGGGAUGAAGUAGUUGAGAGGAAAUUGGUUAAUGUGGAAUUGAUUGAUUUGACAAAUGACAAGAUUAAGAUUAUCCAAGAACGAUUAAAGACAACUCAAGAUAGGCAAAAGUCGGUAGUGUACUUAAUAGUACAAUUAAGUUGAAUUAAGCCUCGAACUAGAUCAAAUGAAGAUUUUAAGGUGAAAUUUAAAAUUUUAAAUUUCUAGAAUAACUUAAAAUGGUGAUUCGGAGUUCGAGGACCGAUAUGGAGUCAAAUUGGAAUUUUCAUGAUCUAGGGACAAAAUGGUCAUUUCCCCACCCGAGGUUAAGAUGUGAGAGUUAGAUGAAAUUUUUGACUAAGAUUGACUAUUUAGAACAGAAUUUGAGUUUGAGAAGUGAAAAAUUUUAAUUCCAACACUUUUCCAAGCAUAAGGGUAAAAUAGUCAUUUUGCCACCCUAGGGGCAAAAUCGUAAUUUUACACCACCUAACACUUGUCCAACACAUGGAUUUUACCCAAUAUUAUCAUGGAUAAUUGAGGAAAUUAAGUGGUGGAGAGAGAUUGCUUAAUGGGUAAAUAUGACACAUUGACCAAUGGAAUGGUGACAUGUGUUACGUUUAUAUCCAUUAAAUGUUGGCUUAAAAAUCAGCACAUAAAUCAGCCCAUUUCUCUUCAUAUGGCUCGCCAAAGGAAGAACAAAGAAAGAAAAGAAAGAACACAAGCCCUAGGUGGGAAAAUUGAAGAAAAAGUGUGGGAUUUCAAGGGAUUAAGCUAAUAAAGGUAAAAUUUUGUGAUUUUAUCUUGUGAUUUACACUACCCAUGCUUUCUUUUUCAUUUUCCAUGCUUAGAACUCAAGUUUGCAUGAUGAACCCAUGCUNNNNNNNNNNNNNNNNNNNNNNNNNNNNNNNNNNNNNNNNNNNNNNNNNNNNNNNNNNNNNNNNNNNNNNNNNNNNNNNNNNNNNNNNNNNNNNNNNNNNNNNNNNNNNNNNNNNNNNNNNNNNNNNNNNNNNNNNNNNNNNNNNNNNNNNNNNNNNNNNNNNNNNNNNNNNNNNNNNNNNNNNNNNNNNNNNNNNNNNNNNNNNNNNNNNNNNNNNNNNNNNNNNNNNNNNNNNNNNNNNNNNNNNNNNNNNNNNNNNNNNNNNNNNNNNNNNNNNNNNNNNNNNNNNNNNNNNNNNNNNNNNNNNNNNNNNNNNNNNNNNNNNNNNNNNNNNNNNNNNNNNNNNNNNNNNNNNNNNNNNNNNNNNNNNNNNNNNNNNNNNNNNNNNNNNNNNNNNNNNNNNNNNNNNNNNNNNNNNNNNNNNNNNNNNNNNNNNNNNNNNNNNNNNNNNNNNNNNNNNNNNNNNNNNNNNNNNNNNNNNNNNNNNNNNNNNNNNNNNNNNNNNNNNNNNNNNNNNNNNNNNNNNNNNNNNNNNNNNNNNNNNNNNNNNNNNNNNNNNNNNNNNNNNNNNNNNNNNNNNNNNNNNNNNNNNNNNNNNNNNNNNNNNNNNNNNNNNNNNNNNNNNNNNNNNNNNNNNNNNNNNNNNNNNNNNNNNNNNNNNNNNNNNNNNNNNNNNNNNNNNNNNNNNNNNNNNNNNNNNNNNNNNNNNNNNNNNNNNNNNNNNNNNNNNNNNNNNNNNNNNNNNNNNNNNNNNNNNNNNNNNNNNNNNNNNNNNNNNNNNNNNNNNNNNNNNNNNNNNNNNNNNNNNNNNNNNNNNNNNNNNNNNNNNNNNNNNNNNNNNNNNNNNNNNNNNNNNNNNNNNNNNNNNNNNNNNNNNNNNNNNNNNNNNNNNNNNNNNNNNNNNNNNNNNNNNNNNNNNNNNNNNNNNNNNNNNNNNNNNNNNNNNNNNNNNNNNNAAUUCGGUUAUAUUCAUACCUCGAUCGAAGAGGCGCGUAGGGUAUCUCUUGAGGUAUGGUUAGAGUUUACGUCACGCCGAACCACCUCGUGAUGAUGAACUCCGCUAACGCCAAGGAACGACUGUGUUUUUCAAACUAAAAAUAUGUUUAUGUGUAUAAAAAUUAUUUAACAGCCUUGGCGGACUCGGUUAAAUGCCUCGGCCAAGGUAUUCCCGAGAAUAAUUUUGGCAGGAGCCAAGCUUUUAAGAUACUCAUAAGCCAUGUUGAUUAUUUAAAUGAAAUGAAUAUUUAUGUUAUGAAAUACAUAUUGAGAUGGAAUAUUUUAAUCGUCUCCAUUUACUCGACUUUAGAUAUUUUGAAUGGUGUUUGUUUACUCACUAGGAUUAUAUAAUCUCACUGCCCUCCUUUGCACCAAUUUCAGGCUCAGAAUAGGCUGUAGAUAGCUGAUUUCAUCGAGGGCUGUCAUUGGAUUUGCAUCCUCCAAACUGUAGGUUCACAAUCUUUUCUUAUUUUUGGUUAUUCGGGGGCCCAUUGGUUUUUGUAAAUUAAGUUAAAUACUCUAGCUUACUGUAUUACAGUAUGUAUGAAUUUAUUUAGCUUUUACACUACAAAAAUUAAUUACCGGUAACUUUAUAAAUAUUAUUUUAUAAGAAAAUAGAAUAUUUUGCUGAAUAUUUUUAUUAUAUUCAAAUAAUCGUAAUUUCAUUUUAAAUGAAGGUUUUAGAUGUUUAAAUUUAUUUUUGAUUAUGAAUUAUGUGUUUUGUACUCGCUUACUAUAUUUUUAGCGGAUUUAGAGAUUUUUGAAGAAAAAUGAUCAAAAUGCCAUUGUGAGGAAAAACUUAUUUUUCUAUUGUUUUGAAUUGGAAAUAGUUUACAAUCUCUCAAAACAUGAUUUUAGUAACUAAUACUCACAAGGGAAGAGAGAAAAACUGAUGUUAAGCCUUGCGAGGUUUCGAUUGACAUUCCGGGUAAUGAAUGUCUAUCAGGAUAUCGUGGCGGUUGUCACGGGCUCGAUGGGAGUUCCAGGUCGCGAAAGUUACUCUAUUUUCAAACCAUCAUUCAAUUUCAAGACAAUGUUAUAAAAUCAUUUCAUUAAAUCACAUUUUAAUUAGAAAACACAAAGAUUUACCAUUUAACUCAUUUUUCAUAAAAUCACAAAAUCCGAUAAAAACCACUUUAGAUAAUUAAGAUGAUAGUAAGGUUACUCACUAUUUCGGGAGUCGAAUUCUGAGUACUCCAAUUCUUAAUCCUCGGGUACUAUCUAUUUACUUUUGCCAAAAAACUCACCACCUAGACAUAAUGCAUAAUAAGCCAUUUACUACAUUUGUGCUAAAUUGUUAUAAAAUCAAUUCAGGCUCUAUAUUAAUGCAGGAAAUGGGAUGUAAAUUGUUUGGAUUAUCGUCUAAACACGGUGUUCUACACAAAUUCAAUUGUGUACCUAAAUAAAAUCGUGUUAGCCUAAUUCGAUCUAUCAUUCGAUUAAUUGGCUAAUAUGUCCAAUUCAACUCCAAUAAUUCCAUUUUUCUUCCAAUUUUCCAAACCAUCAAACACAAUUUAAGUAACUUGAAAUAUGGCAAAAUCAUCCUCACAUUUUCUCUUGGAAAAUUCAGCCAUGGUGAGUGCAUCAAUACUAUGAUUUUUCCUACUUGAUUUUCUCACCGUAAUUCAUCAUUUCUUAACAAAUGCACUUGAAAUAAAAUCAAAUCCACCAUCCACACUCUACAUGGAAGAUUCGGCCAAUGAUGGGUUAUGGAAGAACAUGAAUUUUUCUUAUUUGUUUUUCAUGCUACACAUCACUAACUAACUAAAAACACUAAAAUACAUUGAAAUCUAACCAAAUCCAAGUUCAAAACUCCUCCCCCCAUGUCCGGCCAGCAAGGGUAGCCUCAUGCAAACUUGAUUCUCAACCAUGGAAAAUGAAAAAGAAUGCAUAGGAAAGGUAAAUCACAAGCUAGAAUUGAAAAAUCUUACCUUUUGUCACUUGAUUCUUUGAAAUUUUGUGAAUUUCUCUUGAAUUUCUUAGCUAGGUUUUUGUUCUUCUUUUUUUCAUCCCUUUUCUUCCUUUGGCCGGCCAGAGAAAUGAGUUGGGAGGGUUAUGGGCUCAUUUUUAAAGCCAAAUAAUAAAUGGAUGAAAAUUUGACACGUGUCACCAUUCCAUUAGCCCAUGUGUCAUACUUACCCAUUAAGCAAUCUCUCCCCACCAUUUAAAAUUUCUCAAUUAUCCAUGAUAAUAUUGGGUAAAAUCCAUGUGCUGGACAAGUGUUGGGUGGUGUAAAAUUUCGAUUUUGCCCUUGGGCAGCAAAAUGACUAUUUUACCCCUAUGCUUGGAAAAAUGCCAAAAUUAAAAUUCUUCACUUCUCAAACUCAAAUUAUACUCCAAAUGAUCAAUCUUAGUCAAAAUUUCAUUCAACACUCACAUCUUAACCUCGGAUAGCAAAAUGACCAUUUUACCCCUAGGUCAUGAAAAUUCCAAUUUGACUCCAAAUUGGUCCUCGAACUCCGAACCACCAUUUUAAGUCAUUCUAGGGUUUUAAAAUUCUCAAUUUCAUCUUAAAAUCUCUAUUUGGACUUGUUCGAGGCUUAAUUCAACUUAAUUGUACCAUUUGGUACAAUACCGUCUUUUAACGAUUUUUGAGGUACCCAAGUAAGCAAACAUGCAUUUUUAUGUAGGAAUGACAUAAUAAACAUAUUGUAAAGCCGGGCUUGACAAUAUUAUAGGUUUCUUACCACCCAAAUCAAUGGUUGAGAAGUCCAACCUGACAAAUUCCAAUUCAUCUGCUUUCAACUUGAAUGAAUCUAAAAUUAUAGUUGUUGCUAGAGGUUUGAUAUUCUUAUAAUACAUAUGGAGAUUGAUGUGUGAUUUUGCUCGAAGAGAAUAUGGAGAUUGAAGCUGUGAUUUUGUACAAAGAGAAAGGGAAAAUAAAUAGAAUGAUAGAUAAAAGUGAAGAUUAAAGGUGUUGCAACUAUUCUGAAAGCUAAGUGAAGCUAAGUUGGCGAAAACUAAUUUAAACUUGUUCAUGGGUAUUGAGUGUUUUAUCCUUAUUUUUGUUUAACAAUAGAGUUUGCUCUUAAACUAAUUUGGAUAAAAGAAUAGAAAUUGGUUAGGGAUGAACACAAGGUUGAUAUUAUACAAGUAUCUGGGGGUACACAAAUCGAUAAUAUAGGAUUUGAUUACCUUAUAUUUGGUUAUGAAGUGAGUUCAGGUAAGGUUUUUAAUACUCAUAUAGAGUUCAGGUAGGUUUCGAGGUAUCACAUUUAGGGUACCUGUUACCCAAGCUAGAUUAUAUUAUGAUGUUUGAUGCAUCCUACAUUUAAAUAUGUUGUUUGAUGCUAUACUUAUAUGGUUUUUAUGUUGUAUUGUUGUUGUUUAAGUUAUUUUGCAAUGUUUUGUGGUUUAAAUUUUAAUUGUUAGUAAAUUACAUAUCUAUUAAUGUAAAAUAUUUUUUUUCAAGUUUGAGUUUGGGUUAUUUAAUAGGUAUCAUUUUACAAAAAUUUUGGUCUUGUAUAAUCGAAUUUUGAACAAAUUCGGGUAAUUAAUGGAUAGUGCUAUACUAUUAUGGUUUAAUUUUGUAGUGUUUUGUAAUUUUAUUCGAGUUUUAAUCGGAUUCAAGUACCUUAAUAGUUAAACAGUUUCAAGGUGGGGUACCUAAAAAAUAAUAGGUACCCUACAUGCCUAAAAGUGGUUAAACAUAUGACAAAAUUAUUAGACAUUUUCAAUAAUAAUAAGUGUGGGACAUAAUCCUACUGUGGAAAAGGAAAUGAAUAAAGAGGAGAUAAAUGCUUAAUAGUUGGACUAAAGUGGAGCUAAGGUGCAAAAUAAAGCAUAAGUAAGCUUUUCAAGUUCUGGUUGGUCUUAAAACGAAUUAUAUUAAUAUAUUAUAAAGGCAUUUGGCUUUACCUUGGAAACAAAUAGUUGUCUGUUGGGAACAAACAUCUAUUUUUAUAAUAGAUUCUCCUCUUAUUCCAAAAUGAAACAAAAACAACUAACCACAAACAAUAAUCUCUUAUUCUUUUCUUAAUAUUCUUAAUAUUCUCUAUGCCAUACUGUAACAACCCCUCUCCGGUCACUACUGGCGUCCGAGACCUUCAAGAAAGACUCGCCAAGUCUCAAACAAGCUUUUCUCAAAAUGCCCAUUAGUUCACUACAUACCAUCACCAUUCCAUAUUAAUACUUAAAACAAUACUUUUAUAUCAUAACUUGAACCAUAAACAUAAUAAUCGAUUCAAGCUUUAAAUCAUUUAAUCACAAAGUUACACAUUGAAAUCCACAAUCUUCAAUUAUUUACUUAUAUCGACACCAAUAUCCGUUUACAACUUAAUGAACAAAGAGCUACAACUCGACCUCUAACAGUAGAGCGACUUGGGAUAAAAUGCUAUAAGAUGCCUUUACCUAUCUGUAGUAGAUCGCACGUAUUGAUGAUUACACGCUAGGUUAAUCCUUGUCUGUAAAAAGGAAAAUUAGAGGGGUGUGAGUCUCAUAGACUCAGUGAUCAUCAUCGACCUUGUGAGUAGGCGAAGAGGGGAAACAAACAUAAAGGUGGAAUGUUUAUAAAUCCAAGAGUCAGCAUAGGAAACACACUCCAUUAAACUGAAAGAUUUUAUUUUUAUACCUUGCAAGUCUUAAAAGAAAUAAAUCACCAAUAAACAAAUAUAAAACAGUUGUAUUUAUGGUACUAGAAAAUCUUUCAACUUCGAUAUCCAGUUAACAAUAAAUCAAAUGGCAAAUGUAAAAAGAAAAGUCUCAAACAUAAAAAUGCGAAAUAACCGAUCACCAAUGAAUAUGUAAAUUUCACUUGCCAUUCAAUAGAAAAUUUCAAGUGUUAAUGCCAUGCAUUGUACAAUAAAAAUCCACAAGUGAACAUCAUCCUCGGGUAGGUUUAGUAUAACCCUUAGGCUUACUCUCUCAAACAUCAUCACCUACUCGUGGGAACUGCCCACGCCACUAUAUAUAAAUUGGGGCUUCAAGUCCCCCUUUUACCUACUCGUGAGAACUGCCCAUGUCACCAUAUAUAAAUCGGGGCUUCAGGUCUCCCUUUACCUACUCGUGGGAGCUGCCCAUGGUAUCAUAUAUAAAUUGGGGCUUCAGGUCCCCCUUUACCUACUCGUGGGAAUUACCCACGCAAUCAUAUAUAAAUCGGGGCUUUAGGUCUCCCUUUACCUACUCGUGGGAACUACCUACGCCACCAUAUAUAAAUCGGGGCUUUAGGUCCCCUUUUUCCUACUCGUGGGAACUACCCACGCCACCCAAUAUAAAUCGGAGCUUCAGGUCCCCAUUUUUAAAUCAAAUAUCAAUAAUCGAUAAUUACUACUUUGUGCACAAAGACCACACUUGACCUGGUGUGGUAACAGGUCCUACCCAGCAUAUCUCAAUCGCGUUCAAAUAAAAAUCAUUGCAAUUUAAUGCAUUUGUAAAACAUAACAGAUUAAAAGCCGUAUAAUCAUAAAUUGAAUAUUAUGCAUAAUUUAUUUCAAAUCAUGGCAUAUCCAUCAAAUCAGCAUGCUAAGUGAAAUCAAUAAUAAUUUUUUUUAUAUCAAAUCCCGUGAAUCAAAUAAUGGCCAUUGGCUCAAACAUCACACAAGCUUGUAAGGCAUAAUUUUGAAGCGAAAGCCAUUGAAAGGUUUGUUUCCUCGUAACUAAAACCUUGUAAAUAUACUUAUGUAUAAUAUAAAAAAAUGAAUUUAAAAUCUUUGAUUGCAAUCACAAACAACUUAUGGCUUUUUACCAACUCAUGCUUUCCACAAUUUCAUCAACCAUCAAAUGUAAUAUAUAUAAUAUAUUUACAGGGAUAUAAUUUUUGAAAUUUAGCACCCACUCACCUCACAAUAGUAGGAUUACUACGUCACUAUUUCUACUUGCCAAUGGCGCGUUACUUCCUCCGGCACACCACUAUAGUGCACUAUCUUUACUUUAGCACUUUCAAAUUGGGCUAGGUUGGUCGAAGUCUCCAUCAGACCCACGGUUUGCUUUGGGAAUAUACUGUUCAGAUCCUUGAAUGCCAGCUUCUCAGCACCAAUGGACCCCACCAGCUCUUUCUCUCUUACUCACAAACCAGCAGCAACUAACUCUUUCUUCCUCACUCACAAACCAAUCAUCACAAAAGCCCAGCUUUCUCUCUUUUUGUUUGCCUAAACUGGAUCCCCUCACUACUGCCCAAAGAACCCGAGCUCUCUCUUUCUCUACCAGCUCCAAAAGAUGAAACCUUUUCCUUAUAGAAAAUACCCAAAUCGGAAUUAAAAAAAAUAUUAAACUCUUGUCUCUCAUUUUCUACAUAUAUUUUCUUUCUUCUUUCUUUUUUUCCUAUUCUUCUUAUUUCUUCCUCUUUUAUUUCUUUUGGCCGAAUUUCCUUCUAUUUUUCUUUCCAGCCGAGCCUCACUUUUCUUUUUCUCUUUUCUCUCUUCUUUCUUCCUUUCCUCCCUUAGCGGGCGACUUUCCCCUUUUUCUCUUCUUUCUUCUUCUCUUUUCUUCUCCUUUCUUCUUUUAUUUCUCUUUCUUUUCUCUUCGGCUUGGCAGAUUUUCUUUUGCUCUUUGCCAGCCGGCGGUACCAACUCUUUCUUUCUUUUUCUUUUAGCUCUUUUUCUUCUCUCUCUCUUUCUCUUUUUCCUUUCCUUCUUUUUCCAUUCUUUCUUGUCUUUUCUCCCUUUUUGGUUCCAACCCACUCUUUCUUUUCUUUCUUCUUGUUCAAGUGGCCAGCCCCACUUGUUGUGCACAUGAUUUAAUGCUUUGACUUUUCUUUUUUGUUUUUUUUAUUUCUCCUCAAAGUCCAACUCUUUCUCCCUUUUUCUCUUUAUUCAUUGCAACCAUCCUUAUCCACUUUUUAGCUAUUUCUUCUCUCUUUAUGGCUUCAUGAGGUCGGCCCCCUACGUGUUUUCACAUGCUUUAAAGCUAAAAAUAUAUUUUAGUUCUUUCAUGUGCACAUGGGCCGCUACCCACUUAUUUCUUACAUGUCUCAUUUCUUUAUUCUUUCUCAUUAUUCAUCUUACCUCCCUUUAUUCCUUCUUUUAUUUUAUUAUUUUUUUAUUCAUUCAUUCAUAAUUUAUUUAUUUAUUAUUUUAUUUAUUUUAUUUAACUUCAAUUAACCAAUCGUGCACAUAAUUAUUUUAUACCAAUUAGCCCUUCGUCUUACCGAGACGAUUACAUUGACUACUAUACAAGGGUACGGGCAUUACAAUCUUCCCCCCUUAAAUAGAAUUCGUCCCCGAAUUCAUGUCAACAUUGGGUCGUUAAUUCAACUCUAGGAUCUUAUUUCAUUCCUUCCUCUAUAGAGAAAGUUUUUUUUAUCGAUCUCAUUUACCUUCAAUUCGAUCAGAAUACUUCAUUUAUAUCUAUUGUCAUUUUUUUAAAAUCAAUUGGAAAUACCCUCUACAAUCAUUUUCGCUUAUUGCUUCGAUGCCGAGCAUACCUUUAUCUCAAUUAUUAAGUCGAACCAUAACUCCCUUUUAAUUAGACCAAUUUCAAUCACAUGUUACAUUUAUGUAUACCUAAUCACCCUUCUAUUACUUCGUUCCUUGUCAAACUUCUUAGCAUUCAUUCAUUCAUUUCAUUCUUAUACAAUAUUAGGUAGCUUACAGCAUUAUAACAUGCCAUAUUCAUUCUUGUACAUAUUAUCAAUGUUGGGGAAAAAUUAACGCCUUUAAUUAUUCCCACAUUCUUCACGUUUACAUUGCAUUUAUUCAACUCCAAUCUUCUUCAUCUUCCUGUUAAUCACACAUUCAGAAUUUCACAUUUCUACAUCAUUCUUGAUUUAAUGCGGUUCAAAUUAUGUGGAAAAGCAAUUCACUUGUCAAUCUUUAUCUUUAAUUAUAAUUCUGUCAUUUGCCAUUGCAUUCUUUUCAGUAGUUCUAGUCCUUCAUGCUUUAAAAUAUAUUAUCAUGAUCAUGACUUGGAACUUUUUGACCAUCCUUGACAAAAUUAGAUUUUAUCUUUCUUAUUCAAUCCCACGAACUCUCACAUUUUAAUACCAUAUAGUAAAAUUUUUUUUUCUUAUUAUUGUACCAUUUAUGCAAUUCUUCAGACAUAUUGUAUGCUUGACAUCUUAUGGAUCCAUCCAACUUCAUCUUUACUUCCAUCAUAUAGGUCCUUAUUCAUUUCGAUAUUACUUAGUCACUUAAAAUUUAGAUUCAUCGAGGUCGUGUACACUUCUUGCAUUUUUUAAUACUAAUUUCCAUGUUAGGGGAUUCUCAUUCACCAGUCUCUUUCUUUUCAACUAUAUCAUAAUAAAAUUGUAGAUAUUCCCAACGAUACUAUAAGUUCAUUCUAUUGUUAUGCCAGCCCCAAUUUCUUUCAUUCACAAUUUCCUCGAUUGGUAUUAGCGUUUCUUUAUAUCUUUGAAUGCAUCUUUAGUCCACUCAAUAUUCCUCUUUAUUCAUCACAUUGCAGAAUAUCUUAGUAACUUUCCAACUCCCCUUUUUCUUACAUGCCAUGAUAUCUAAGUCAAUGAAGAAACCUUUCGAUUCAAGUACUAUUAUCCAAAUCAUUUAAACCUCCACAUAAUAAUGUUUAGUACCAAAGUUAACGAACUGGCUUAAGCUUGUAAUUUAUUCCUACACUUCCACAUUCUACUCAUACGUCCAGUAUGUGAGAUGUUCUUAGCGCUAUGGCACCGGACAGUUGGUGUUGUGACAGUGCAACUGCUAAAAAUUUCUUCCACAAGAAAAUUCUCCUACCUUUAAGAAAACUAUAUUAGUCACAUGCUCAAGGUCUAGUCAAUACCUUUAAGUUCGUAUUACCUCUUAGCACUUGUAAUCAAUUAAAUAAGUCUCACUUAAAGGAACUCUUUCCAUAUGGUAUGACAAAUUUUUAAUUCCAUACUACCACACAUAGUUAUUCACCCGUUCUAGUGUCUAUAAUUCCUUUAACAUUCGUAGCUGAUUGUUUUCCUUAUCUUACAACUCACAUAGUCCAGUCACUUCAACCUAAAAUUGUCAUGAAAUUAAUCCAUCUGGAUUAACACCUUUUGUUUACCUUAUUAUUAAUUCAAGAAUUUCAUCUUUCCCUACUUCCAUAUUUACUUCUAGUCCUUUAAUUCAUUGGCUUCGUACGAGGCAUAGCAAAAUUUUUAAGCUCAUUCUCAAAGCAUAUUUACUUACUAACCUUUUACUUCACAAUCACACAUCAACUAUAUUAAUCAUUGAUUCUUACCCUUAAGCUAAUUCAUGUACUUAUAACUAUAACAAUAAUAGCUCAAAUCAAAUCUUGGGGUCUCACAAUCACUUAAUCAAAAUCAAUACCAGCUCCUUCUAAGCUGAUGUACACAUAUUCAACACAUAUCCACAUAUAAAAUAUUUCGGAAGUUCAACACCAUUCAUAUAUAGGCAGGCACGCUUAAUUAACACAGUGCAUUUACCUCCACGCACACAAGUAUCAGUUUACAGUUCCCUUCAUACUUAGAUUUAUAAACCUCAAGUGAAUCUCAACAAGCACUAUUUAUUUUGGUCAAAACAUGACUCUUAUUACCAUUAUCGUAUGUUCUCAUUUAUGUUAACCUUAAAUACUGUCAUGGCCCGAAACCUCCCUCGGGCCCAUGACAAUCGCCGCGAUGUCCCGAUUGACUCUCAUUACCCGAAAUGCCAAUCGAAACUCCGCAAGGCUUACGUAUCAGUUUCUUGCCGUUCUUGUGAGCAAUUGUUGUUAAACAUUUCGUUUUAAAUAAUUACCAGUCGUUUUCGACUCAAGUAAAUCAAAAGACAAAAAUAUAUUUUUGUUUUUAAAAGGAUUUAUAGACAAAUAUUACUCUUCCAAAUAUUGAUUAAAAUAUAGCAUUUUUAUAUAAAACAAUAUUUAUAGAAACACGUGUAAGUAAUCUUUUGUAACGUGGAAGUAAAAUAAAUUCAUACAUACAAUAAUUUACAAAGUUAUAAUGUACAAUAAUAAUUACAAUGACAAGUGGCCCGUAAAUACACCAAGUGUUGGCGAUAGUAACCUACUGUUUGUGAGAUAGAGGGGUGUUGGAAUCCUCGACAAAAUCGGGUAUCUACAAGCUACCAUAAGCCUAAAAUAUUUGAAAAGGAGGUGGGUGAGAUUUUGCAAUCCCAAUGAGUAAACAUACAUUAUUAUAAAUAUCUAAAGGCGAGUAAAAUGGAGGCAAGUUUAAACAACAAAUCACAAACCAUUUCAUAAGGUUUUCAAUUUAUUUCUUAAACCAUAAAAUAUUUGUAACUUACCAAAACAGUUGUUAAGGCUUAUGACUUUUAUUAGAAACAGGCUCAAGCCAAAAACUAGUCCUCGGGGAUACCUUGGCCGAGGCAUCUAACCGAGUCUUCCAAGGUUGUUAAGAUAUUUACAUGUUAAACACAUGUUAGUUUUGAAAACAAGUCGUUCCUUGGCGUUGGCCGAGUUACACAUUCACGUGGGGGUUCAACGUGAAGUGAGCUCUAACACUACCCCGAAAGUUACCCUCCUCGCCUCUACAAACGGAGUAACUAUGCAACCAAGUUUACUGUACCCCUCUAAUAGGUAGUCUACGAAAACCCGUCACUGUAGUGACUAAACCCACCAAUUUUAAUAAAAUUUCGACAGUAUAACGUGGCUUUUAUUUAUUUACCCAACCUGCAUAGUAAAAGACAGCUUACAUAAAUUCCCAAUGCAAUUAUAAAAUAUAGCCACAUAUACUCAUAUAUCAUAAGCCAUUCAUAGGAAACUAUAUUUUUCAAGACAAUUAGCAACCUCCAAUAACUCAAUUUCAUGAUCAAAAGUUUCUUAUUUCAAAUAAUCAACACAAUAUAUUUAUUUGUCACAUUUAUUUCUAAAACAUCAAAAGUUUCAUUUUAAUCUCAUUUUCGUUUCAUAAAAUACAUAAAGAGCAUUUAAAAAUAAACUUUAGAUAAUUUACAAUAAUAAUAGGUUUACUCACCGUUUGUACAAGUUAAAUGUUUUCUAGGUGCCCCGAUCACUGUUCGUCGAGUACGACUUCCUUGCCUUUACCGGAAGGCUCUCUUCCUAGACACAUUGCAAAAAUUACACAAUUCACCACAUUGAUGCUAAAUCACUCUAUAAUUGACUUAAAUCCUAUACUAAUGCAUGGUAUGAAAUGCAAUAGCCUAAAACGGCUUAAACGCGAUAUUAACCUAUUUUUGGCACUUUACUCGAUAAAUUGCUAACGCGCUCCAUUUUAGCUCUAAAUUGUCCCAUUUUCUCUCCAACAUUUCUAACCAUUAAAUAUCAGCCAAUAACCCUCUAAAAUCACCAAAAUCAGCUCACUUUCCUCCUUGAAAAAUUCGGUCAAAAAUGGGACAUUAACUCGGUUGAUUUUCCACUUUGUUUUUCUAUCACAUUUAACCAUUUUUCAUCAUUUUCUCUUCAUUUCUCUUAGAAUAAAAAUCAGUUCAUCAUCAUUGUACAUCAUUGAAUAUUCGGCCAAGGGUGGGUAUUAUGAGAAUUUCAUGCUUUCUUGCCCAAUUUGAUUUCUAUACACAUUUAACUAACUAAAACUACUAAUUUAACUAAGAAUCAAAACAUAAAAAUUUCAAAAUCCUUCCCCUUGAAAUUCGGCCAGCCCUUGGUGUCACUUUUUGAUCUCUCUCCUCAAGCAUGAUAAAUGGAAACAAAGGCAUAGGAAAGGUAGAAAUCAAGAUAAAGUCGAAAAAUCUUACCGUUCGACGCGUAAACGGACAAAAAACGCUAAUUCCCCUUUGAAUUUUCUAGUUUUCCUUUGGUUUUUCUCUUUUCUUCCUUUCCUCUCUAUUUUCUCUCUUAUUUUCUCCUUAUGGCCGACCAUCACCUGAUGUGGGGUUUAAAUGGGCUGAUUUUCCUUUAAAAUAAUAUUAAAUCAUUAAAAAGUGCCAUGUGUCACUUUUCCAUUGGCCCGUUUUUAAAAUUUCAUCCUUUAAACUUCAAUUUUUCACCACUUAAUAUAGCAUAGUUAUUCAUACCAAAAAUAAAUAAAUCCUAUGAUUUUGACAAGUUUUGGGUGGUGAAAAUUACGGUUUUACCCCAGGGCGAUAAAAUUACCGUUUUGCCUUUAUGUUUCAAAAAUUGCCGAAAUUGAAAAUUUUCACUUCCUAUCAUUAAAUUGUACUCCAAAUAGUUAAUCUUGGUCAAAAAUUUCACUCCAUGAUCAAAUUAUUAUCUUAGGUGGCAAAAUAACGAUUUUGCCCCUGAACAUCAAAAUUUUUAAUUUUUCUCAAAAUGAACCCUCAAACUCCGAAUAAUCAUUUUUAGUCAUUUCUGGAUUGUAAAAUAUUAAAUUUCAUACUACGAUUCCUAUUUGAACUAGUUCGACGUUAAAUUAACUCAAGUGUACCGUUAAGUACAAUACCAAGUUUCGUCUAUUCUUAGGGGCUUUCCUAGCGUAAUAACAUGCUACUCAGUGCAUAUAUGUCAUGACAUGUGUUCAUAGGGUCGGGUUUUACAAAUACCAUUCAUAGUUAUCAAUUUCUUCCCAUUGACAAUCAUGGCUUAAAUUUUAACUCCACCAAAUGAAUGAGUUAUUAUGGACCAAUUAGUCCAACUCCAUUUUCCUCCACCCUUAGUCGGAGGGUAUAUCAUUACAUCAACCUUCCCUCAGGAGCAUUUGCUUAAAAUCUUUCCAAUAGCAGCUCGUGUUUCGGAUGGCAUCUCAAACCUGAACAUUGGUAAUCAAUUCUCGUUAUUUAAUCAUCACUUAUAAUUUCACAAGGUGGUUUUCUAAGAUAAAGAGUCUACGCAGCCUCCUGGCUAUAAUCGAUGCUGCAGUCAUUGACUAUAAACAAGACUCUAUGUCGACCCCACUACUCCGCUGUUUGACAUAAGAGUAUUCUAGGACUCGACUAAACCUAGUGCUCUGAUACCAAGUUUGUAACAACCCCUCUCCAGUUGCUACCAGCGUCCGAGACCUUCGGGAAAGACUCGCCAAGUCCCGAACAAGCCUUUCUCGAAAUGCCCAUUAGUUCCUUACAUACCAUCACCAUUCCAUAUUAAUACUUAAAACAAUACUUUUAUAUCAUAACUUGAACCAUAAACAUAAUAAUCAAUUCAAGCUUUAAAUAAUUUAAUCACAAAUUUACACAUUGAAAUCCACAAUCUUCAAUUAUUUACUUAUAUCGACACCAAUAUCCGUUUACAACUUAAUGAACAAAGAGCUACAACUCAACCUCUAACAACAGAGUGACUCAGGAUAAAAUGCUAUUAAAUGCCUUUACCUAUCUGAGUAGAUCGCACGUAUCAAUGAUUACACGCUACGUCAAUCCCUGUACGUAAAAAGGGAAAUAAGAGGGGUGUGAGUCUCAUAGACUCAGUGAUCAUCAUCGACCCCGUGAGCAGGCGAAGAGGGGAAACAAACAUAAAGGUGGAAUGUUUAUAAAUCCAAGAGUAACCGUAGGAAACACACUCCAUUAAACUGAGAGAUUUUAUUUUUAUACCUUGCAAGUCUUAAAAGAAAUAAAUCACCAAUAAACAAAUAUAAAACGAUUGUAUUUAUGAUACUAGAAAAUCUUUCAACUUCGAUAUCCAGUUAACAAUAAAUGAAAUGGCAAGUGUAAAAUGAAAAGUCUCAAACAUAAAAAUGCGAAAUAACCGAUCACCAAUGAAUAUGUAAAUUUCACUUGCCAUUUAAUAGAAAAUUUCAAGUGUUAAUGCCAUGCAUUGUACAAUAAAAAUCCACAAGUGAGCAUCAUCCUCGGGUAGCUUUAGUAUAACCCUUAGGCUUACUCUCUCAGACAUCAUCACCUACUCAUGGGAACUACCCACGCCACUAUAUAUAAAUCCAGGCUUUAGGACCCCUUUUACCUACUCGUGAGAACUGCCCACGCCACCAUAUAUAAAUCGAUGCUUCAGGUCCCCCUUUACCUACUCAUGGGAACUGUCCACGCGACCAUAUAUAAAUUGGGACUUCAGGUCCCCCUUUACCUACUCGUGGGAACUACUCACACCACCAUAUAUAAAUCGAGGCUUUAGGUCUCCCUUUUCUUACUCGUGGGAACUACCCAUGCCACCCAAUAUAAAUCGGAGCUUUAAGUCCCCAUUUUUAAAUCAAAUAUCAAUAAUCGACAAUUACUACUUUGUGCACAAAGACCACACUUGACCUGGUGUGGUAACAAGUCCUACCUAGCAUAUCUCAAUCACGUCCAAAUGAAAAUGAUUACAAUUUAAUGCAUUUGUAAAACAUAACAGAUUAAAAGCCGUAUAAUCAUAAAUUGAAUUUUAUGCAUAAUUUAUUUCACAUCAUGACAUAUCCAUCAGAUCAGCAUGCUAAGUGAAAUCAAUAAUAUUUUUUUUAAAUCAAAUCUUGUGAAUCAAAUAAUGGCCAUUGGCUCAAACAUCACAAAAGCUUGCAAGGUAUAAUUUUGAAGCGAAAGCCAUGGAAAGGUUUGUUUCCCCGUAACUAAAACCUUGUAAAUAUACUUAUGUAUAAUAUAAAAAAAACGAAUUUAAAAUCCUUGAUUGCAAUCAGAAACAACUUAUGGCUUUCUACCAACUCAUGCUUUUCAAAAUUUCAUCAACCAUCAAAUGUAAUAUAUAUAAUAUAUUUAUAGGGAUAUAAUUUUUGAAUUUAGCACCCACUCACAUCAUAAUAGCGGGAUUACUACGUUGCUUUUUCUACUUGCUAGUUGAGUGCAGUAAAUGAGAAGAGAAUAUUUGCAAGUUUUUUAGCUCUUUUUUUGUGUUCUUGGAAGCCUUCAAUGCAUUUCUAGCCGUUGGAACCCUCUUUUAUACUUGAAAAAUCAGCUCUGAUGUGAGUUAGAUAGUUUUUGACUGUUGGGAAUAGUUUGGUAGUAAUUCUGACUGUUAAUCUAUUUUCUAGUGCACAAUUCAAAAUUUUUGGCAGAAUUCUCUUAGUCGACUAACCUAUGUCGUAGUCGAUUAAGUCGUCUCUGUCUUCUGAUCCCAGUUUUUGGCUGUUUGCACUUAGUCGACUAACUCAUUCCUUGGUCAACUACGUUGGUUCUGUUUCUCAAUACUUUUCAGCCCGUCAACUUUUGAUUUAAAUCUUAGCUGACCAACUCUUCAUUAAUCGACUAAGGGGCUUCUAUCUUGUUGAUCAAUUGUGACUUCUUUAUUUCUAUGCUCUUUGAUAUGUGCAUUUCAAUGAUUGAUUAUUUAUUUGCAUACAAUUUUUGUCCUGCACACUCAAUUAUAAGUAUUAAACACAAAUGAAAUGGGAAUGUUUUAUUAUCAUCAAAAACUAAUAGAGCCAACAACUCGCUCACUCUAAGUAUACAAGAAGAUAAGUAAAAGAAGUGUAUCUAUGAUCACAAGGUUGAUCUAAGUGGUACAAAUGAAGUGCAAAUCACAAUUACAAAGAUGAGAGUUCAGUGCAAUAAAUGAACAGUAAGUGUUUUCUAGGUUUUCAGCUCUUUUUGUGUUCAUGAAAGUCUUCAAUACAUUUAUAGCCAUUGGAACCCUCUAUUAUACUUGGAAAAUUAGCUUUGAAGUGUGUUAGAUAGUUUUUGAUCGUUGGAAAUAGUUUUGUUGCAAUUUUGGCCAUUAAUUUGUCUUCUAGUGCAUAAUUCAAAAUUUUUGGCAGAAUGCUCUUAGUCGACUAACUGAUAUCUUAGUCGAUUAAGUCGUCUCUGUCUUCUAAUCCUAAUUUCUGGCAGUGUGCACUUAGUCGACUAACUUAUUUCUUUGUGACUAAGUUGGUUCUAUUUCUCAAUACUCUUCAGCCCAUCAACUUCUGAUUUAAAUCUUAGCUGAAUAACUCUUCAUUAAUCGACUAAGGGGCUUCUAUCUUGUUGAUCAAUUGUGACUUCCUUAUUCUUAUGCUCUUUGAUAUGAGCAUUUGAAUGAUUGAUUAAUUAUUUUCAUACAAUUUUUGUCCUGUACACUCAAGUAGAAAUAUUAGACACAAAUGAAUGGGAAUGUUUUAUUAUCAUCAAAAACUAAUGGAGCCAACAAUCUUCCCUUUUUUGAUGAUGACAAAACAUUCCUUGGUUAAUAGCACAGUGUCCUUUUAUUCUUUUUAGUUUUGAAUAAAAUGGAGUUUUUCCUCCCCCUAAGUGUGUGCUCCCCCUUAAUGUGUGCGUAGUUUUAUUAUUCAUUUCAUCAUGUUUUUAUUAUUGUCAUACAGAAAAUGACAUAUGAGGGUUCAAUUUUAUGACAGAAUAUAUUUAUGUAGGCUUAUGGAAUAAUAAGCGUUAAGUGACAGAAUGACCGAACAUUAUUACUAUUUCAGCGUGUUGUCUGUCAUAUAGUUUCCAGACUUAAUCCAUUCCAAAGCCAAAUGCCAUAAACCUUUUAGUCAAAAAUAUUUGCAUUCAUAUUUAUUUUCAUCCAAAUCUCACUCACAAUAUCAUAUCAACAAUUAAUUGUCAACAUAACAGCUCAAUAUCAGCAUCAAAUCUUUAAAUAACAGCAGAAACUCAAUAAUAGCUUUAGAUAUUCAGUCAUCAACUUAGCAGUAUUACAUUCAUUCAAAAUCCAACCAAAAUAUCAUGAGAAUAAGUUUUUAGUGCAUCAUCAGAAUAAAUUUUCAACACAUUUUCAGCAUCAGUCAUUUACAAUAGAAGUUUUCAACACAUUAUAGAACAAAAUAAAUAAACAAUGUCUCAGCACAAUGAUCAGUAUCCAAUGUUCAACAAACUACCAUAGACAACCUAGUCAGAUUUAACAUCCUAAAUUUCACCUAGAUUUCUGGGACCUCUACCCUAACAUUUUUUUUAAUUUAUUUUCCCUUUCUCUUAGCUUUCCACUUCUCCCUCUUUUUGUCAUCAUCAAAUUUCAAGGAUGCUUAAUUAUCUUCUGAAGAGGAUGAGGGAGAGGACUCAUCAUUAGUGAAAUAUUUGACAUUGAGAGGUUCAAGAGAAGGUUCUGAUGGUGAUUUUUGUGGUGAAGGUUCAAGUGAAGAUUUGUCAGAAACUUCCAAAGGUUCUUGACGAGAAAAGAUAGCUACUGGUUUAGCCUUUUCAACAAUUUUGGAGGAUUUUCUUCUUUUGAGAAAUUUGGUCUUGGUUGCCAUUCUCUUGAUGCCUUUACUAGGUGGUUUUGAUUUGGCCUGUGGAUUAGUAGGGGCUUUUUCUUUUUUUUUCCCAGAUUACCUUUCUGUAGUAUGAGCUGGUGCAGAUGUGGCUUGUUGUGUUUUUGCUUUAGCUGCUUCUUUCUCAACUUGCUCCUCAUGAACCAUUUGAUGAAAAAGACCCAUGAUUGAAACCUCUUCAGAUUGUGGAGGAGAUGGUUGAGGUUCUGGUUAUCAAUCUUGAAUUGGUGGAGAGGUGCCAUCAAGAGAUCCAAGAACUUCAGUUCCCUUAUAUGAUCUUUUUUCUUUUCAAGCUCAGCUUUAAGGAAUCAUUGGUUCAACAUCUUUAUCUUAAGAAGCAGGGCCUUCAAAGCUCUUAGUUGGGAAGACAGAGCCUUCAACAGCCUCCCCUGCUGGUGCUGAGCUUGAAGUUGCUGAUGUGUCUUUAGCUGCAGUCUCAGCAGUGGAUUUCCCUUUUUCCUUUAUCAUAUUUUCAAUCUCUGCAAGCCUUUAUUCCAUUUUCACAAUUUUUGAAGAUUGUUCUGUAAGCUUCCCAUCCAUUCUCAUCAACAGAUUGAAGAUCCUUUCACUGGUAAAUGGUAAUGAUGCUGCCUCUGACUGUGCUGGUAUUGUAGAGACCUUGGGUGAUUUAACAAAAAUUUCUCCAUCUAACUUGUAACCUAUCUUUAGUAGACUACCUAAGUAGAUAGCCUGGUCUCUACUCUUUACUAGGUCCAUUUCAUAUCUUUUAGUCCAAAUUCCUUUCUUUUGCACUAGAGAAAUGAUGACAUUCCCAUAUGGCAGAUUUAUCUUGUCUCCUGUACAGGCUCUUCUCAUCUUUUCAACCAUAAAUUGACCUAGAUUCAGGGGAGUAACAUUGAAUGCAUGCCCCAUUAGCUAUAAGUCCUGAAGGCUAAUGUAGCUAAAACUGCCACUUCUGCCAUGAAUGUUUGCUAUUAUAAAGUAAUGCAAAAUCUUAAUUUGAGGACUGGUAAUCAAUCCGACAUUACUUUUUGAGGAAUAUUUUUCUUUCCUCCUUGUAAUUAUUUCCCACAAGGAGGAUGGGUCAUAAUUUUUAGGAAAUUCAAACUCUCUUUCCUCACAUUCGACUUUAAGUAAUUUCCCUAGAUCAGCAGCAGUUACAAUAAACUCCUUUCCAUUUAAAAACACAUUCAGGCCAUCAUCAAGAUAAUCAUCAGAAUCUUCAAGUUCCUCAUUUCCUAACGCAAUACUUGCAUAAAACUCUUUAACCAACUGACACCGUAGGAUUGAUUUUUAAAGGUAUUAUACUACUUCAGUUUUAAUUCCUCAAAAUAAUCAGAUAAACUUGUCUGAAGUUCUGGGGUUUCAUUGAAACUAUCUUAGUUAAUGUAUUUUCCACAAGUAAUGAGGGCAUUCUCUAAUUUCUUGUAUCUAUCUUCAUGUACUUUGUUCCUAAACUUAGAAGAUGAGGUGUUACCUUUCUUAGAUGAUUUUCCCUUCUCUUUCUUCUUCUUUGUUUUCUGUUCCUUUUCCUUUUGCGAUUUUCCAAAACUUUCACUCAUCGAUGCAGACCCAAUUUUCUGUUUCUUUUUUUGUAUUUCUGCUUGCAUGCCUUCUUCCAAUGACCAUUUUCCUUUCUUCUUCUCAGCAAUCUCUUUGGUCAAAGAGGUUUUUGCCAUUUUAGAUUUGAGAGAAUUUUGAUCAAGUGUUUUGAGAAUCUGAGUGGAGAGGGUUUCAGUUUUGGGUGGGUCGGUUUCAGAGGAGAGAAAAUGUAGAGGAAAUGAGUUAAUGAGUAGUUUAAUUUCUCUAAAAACCAUCUGCCUCCCCUUUAAAUAUUAUCAGUUGUUCUCCUAUUCGAAAUUCAAAUUUUGCCUCAUAUUUUAUUUUUCAUCAGACAGUAUUUUCUACCCAUUUUCUUCACCCGGUAUACUGCUCCUGUUUAUUAUUUUAUUCUUUCUUUUUCUAACUUAACUAAGUCUUAUUAUUUAAAGUGAUAGAACACUCUUAGUCGACUAAGUGUCUCUCUUAGUCGACUAAGUGCCUACUCUCUUUUUGAGAAAAUUUCAAAAUUUUUCCUAAAGCUCCUACAUACUAACCAUUCCUAAAUUUCUUCUAACCUCACAGAAUCUAUCCUCAUUUAAGGGUUUUAUGAAGAUGUCAGCUAAUUGAUGUAAAGUAUUUACAAACUCAAUUUUAAUGUCACCUUUCACUAGGUGAUCUCUAACAAAAUGGUGCCUAAUCUCAAUAUGCUUAGUCUUAAAAUGUUCCACAAGAUUUUUUGAAAUGUUGAUUGCACUUGUAUUGUCACAAUAUAUUGGUAUGUUAUUCAUUGACAUUCCAUAAUCUUUUAUUUGUUGCUUAAUCCACAAGAUUUGAGCACAACAGCUACCUAGAGACACAUAUUCAGCUUCAGUUGUAGACAGAGCUACUGAAUUUUACGUUUUGCUAGACCAUGACACAAGCAUACUGCCUAGAAACUGGCAGGUUCCAUUAGUACUCUUUCUAUCUGUUUUGCUGCUAGCAAAAUCAACAUAUGAAUAUCCAACUAAGCUAAAAGAUGAUUCUCUAGGGUACCAUAUGCCUAAAGUUUGUGUAUCCAUGAGGUAUCUAAAAAUUCUUUUAACAGCAGUCAUGUGUGAUUCUUUAGGUUGAGAUUGAAAACAAGCACAUAAACACACACUGAAUUGUAUAUCAGGCCUGCUGGUUGUUAAAUAAAGAAGUGAUCCGAUCAUACCUCUAUAGAGCUUUUGAUCAACAUCCUUUCCUUUUUCAUCUAAAUCAAGUCUGGUGGAUGGACUCAUUGGUGUACAAAUUGAUUUCAGCUGUAGCAUAUCAAACCUUUUGAGCAUGUCUUGAGUGUAUCUUUCUUGGUUGAUGAAGAUUCCUUUCUCACUUUGUUUGAUUUGAGGCCCAAGAAAAUACUUAAGCUCACCCAUCAUGCUCAUCUCAAAUUCACCCUGCAUUUCUUUAGCAAAGUUCUUUCAUAAAGCCUCAUUAGUUGCACCAAACACAAUGUCAUCCGCAUAAAUUUGAAUAACAAUUAAAUCAUUUAAGUAUUUUUUGGUAAACAAUGUUGUGUUAAUACUACCUUUAACAUAACUUUUUUCAACUAGAAAUUUUGAAAGCCUCUCAUACCAAGCUCUAGGAGCUUGUUUCAAUCCAUACAAGGCUUUGUGAAGUUUGAAAACAUGAUCUGAUUUUUCAAAGUCCUCAACACUAGGGGGUUGCUCAACAUAAACUUCUUCUUGGAUGAAACCAUUUAAGCAUGCAUUCUUUACAUCCAUUUGAAUAACUUAAAGUUCACAAAGCAAGAAAAUGCAAGCAGUAAUCUUAUAGCUUCUAUCCUAGCAAUUGGUGCAAAGGUUUCAUCAUAGUCUAUUCGUUCCUCUUGCUUAUAUCCUUGGGCUACCAGCCUAGAUUUAUUUCUAAUUACAUUCCCUUGCUCAUCUACCUUAUUUCUAAACACCCAUUUUGUUCUAACAAUGGGGUGGUUUAUAGGCCUAGAGACUAAUGACCACACAUGAUUUCUUUUGAAUUGAUCAAGUUCCUCUUGCAUGGCUAAUAUCCAGCUUUCCUCUUUUUCUGCUUCUUCAAAUGUUUUAGGCUCAAUUUGGGAUAUGAAAGCUAAAAACUCACAAGUCUCUCUUGUUGCUCUCCUAGUUUUAACACCUUGUGAAAUAUCACCUAUGAUUAGUUCUUGUGGGUGGUCUUUUGCAUAUCUCCAACUCCUUGAAAGGUCAUUAUGCUAAUUUUCAGUUCUUUGUAGGGUUUCUAUUGGUGGAGGUUCUGUUUUUCUUCCUAGGAAAUUUUCUUCAUCGUUUUUCUUAUCAUCUAAACUCAUCUCUUCCAUUUGUUUUUCUAGAUCAUCCAUAUCAUUUUCAUCAUCAGAAAUUUCCUUUUGUAAGGUAUUGGAUUCAUCAAAAACUACAUGGAUGGAUUCUUCAAUCGUUAAAGAUCUUUUGUUGAAGACUCUAUAGGCUUUUGAGUUAAUGCAUAUUCUAAAAAUAUAGCUUCAUCACUCUUUGCAUCAAACUUUCCCAAAUAUUGUUUUCCAUUAUUCAACACAAAGCAUUUGCAGCCAAAGCUCCUAAGGUGAGAGAUAUUUGGUUUUCUACCUUUGUACAGCUCAUAUGGAGUCUUUGAUAUCAUGGCUCUUAUAGACACUCUAUUAAGGAUAUAAGCUACUGUAUUAACAGCUUUUACUCAAAAGUAUUUAGGUAAAUUAUUCUCUCGUAGCAUAGUUUGAGCCAUUUCUUUCAAUGUUCUAUUUUUCCUCUCUACAACUCCAUUUUGCUGGGGAGUUCUAGGUGCAGAAAAAUUAUGAUCUAGCCCCUUUUCAUUACAAAAAUUCUCAAAUUCAUCUCCUUCAAACUCACCUCCAUGAUCAUUCCUAAUACUAACUAUAGCUAGUCCUUUUUGAUUUCCAACCUUCUGACAAUGACUUAUGAAUGCUGGUAGAGUAUCAUUUUUAUGAGCAAACAAAUAUACCAAAGUGUACCUAGAGUAGUCAUCAACUAUUACAAAGCCAUAAGAUUUUCCUCUUAGACUAGUUGUACUUAUUGGGCCAAAUCGAUCAAUGUGCAGCAAUUCAAAAGGUCUAGAUGUGGAAAAAACUUUCUUGGUUUUAAAGGAUGUUCUAACUUGUUUUCCUAGUUGGCAAGCAUCACAUAUCUUAUCAUUUUUAAAUUUAAGAUCCGGUAGUCCAACAACUAAAUUUUUUCUAAUCAAUUUUGACACGGUAUGUAUGCUCACAUGUCCUAAUCUCCUAUGCCAUAGCCAACUAUCAUUUUCAACAUUUGCCACAAGACAUAUUUCACAAUCCAUUUCAAGAUUCUCAAGAAAUACAACAUACAUAUUCUUUAAUCUUCUUCUAUAAAUGAGACUUUAUUAGUGCUUAUGUCUAUCACUUCACAUUUGGUUGAGUCAAAACAUACUUUAAAUCCUUUAGCACACAAUUGACUAAUGCUUAAUAAAUUAUGUUUCAAACCUUGAACCAAUAACACAUGACUAAUUUGAGUUAGAGAGUUCUUACCAACCGUUCCUAUGCUGUCACGACCCGAUACUCUCCUAGUGUCCGUGACAACCGUCGCGGUGUUUCGAUAGACACUCAUCACCCGGAAUGCCAACCAGAACCCCGCAAGGCUUUAAUAUCAGUUUCUCAUUCCCCUUAUGAGUAACCAUUUCUAAAUAUUAUAUUCUAAAAGAUUUUAAGUUAUUUUCAACUUAAAACAAAUAAAAUAAUAAUUUUCGUCUCACAGGUGUAUUUUGAUCAUUUUUCUCAAAAAUUUCGAAACUAGCUAAAAAUGCAGUAUGCGAAUACAAAACACAUAAUUCAUAAUAAAAAAUAAGUUUAAACGUUUAAAACCUUCAUUUAAAAUGAAAUUAUGAUUAUUUAAAUAUAAUAAAAAAAAUAAAAGAAAUAUUCAAUAAAAUAUUUUAUUUUCUUAUAAAACACUAUUUUUAGAGUUAUACGUAAAUAAUUUUUUACAGCAUAAAAGCAAAAUAAAUUCAUACAUACUGUAAUACAGUAAGCCAAAGUAUUUAAUUUAAUUUACAAUAACUAGUGGGCCUCCGAUUAACCAAAAGUAAGGGAGACUGUAAACCUACAAUUUGGAGGAUGCAAAUCCAAUAGUAGCCUUGAUGGAAUCAACUAUCUACAACUUAUACUGAGCUUGAAAUGGGUGGAAAGGAGGGUAGUGAGAUUAUAUAAUCCCAGUGAGUAAACAAACAUCAUCCAAAAUAUCUAAAGUUGAGUAAAUGGAGACGAUUAAAAUAUUCCAUCUCAAUAUGUAUUUCAUAACAUAAAUAUUCAUUUCAUUUAAAUAAUCAACAUGGCUUAUGAGUAUCUUAAAAGCUUGGCUCAUGCCAAAAUCAUUCUCGAGAAUACCUUGGCCGAGGCAUUUAACCGAGUCCGCCAAGGUUGUUAAAAAUUUAUGUACGCAUAAUUCAUGUUUUUAUUUUGAAAACACAGCUGUUCCUUGGCGUUAGUGGAGUUCAUCAUCACGAGGUGGUUCGGCGUGACGUGAACUCUAACCAUACCUCAGGAGAUACCCUACACGCCUCUUAGACUGAGGUACAUAUAUAAUCGGAUUUCGUGCCCCUCUAAUAGGCUGGUCCAUAGAACCCGCCGACUGUAACAAGUUAAACCCACCAUACAAUAAAAUUUUGACAACAUGACAUGACUAAUAUUAUACUACCCAGUCUGUAAAUGUAAAACAGAAUAAUUUAUACAGUUCACAAGCCGCAAUGCCAGCUAGUCAUGCCAACACAUUAUCAUAAGCCAUCAAUUAGAACCAUAAUUUACAACACAUCAAGUGGUCUGCAGUUACUCUAUUUUGAAAGCCAUCAUUCAAUUUCAAUACAAUUUAUAAAAUCUUUUCAUUUAAACACAUUUUGUUUGUAAAACCUAAAAAUUAACCAUUUAAACUCAUUUUCCAUAAAAUUCAUAAAAUCAAAUAAAAAGACCACUUUAGAUAAUUAAAAUGAUGAUAAGGUUACUCACUAUUUCGGGCGUCGAAUUUCUAGAGUACUCUGACUAUUGAUCCUCGGGUACAAUUUCUUUGCCCUUAGAGGAGGAUUCACCACCUAGACAUGAUGCAAAAUCAAGCAAUUUACCACAUUGGUGCUAAACCGUUAUAAAACUAUAUGGAUGCAUGAAAUGGAAAGCAAAUUGUUUGGAUUAUCGUCCAAACACGAUGUUCGCCUAAUUCGACCUAUCACUUAAUUAAUUGGCCAAUUCAACUCCAAUUAACUCCAUUUUUCUUCCAAUUCUCCAAACCAUCAAUCACAACUUCAAUAGCAUAAAAUUUAGCAACAUCACCUUCACAUUUUCCCUUGGGAAUUUCGGCCAUGAUGGGUGCAUCAAUACUAGAAUUUUUCCUACUUGAUUUUCUCACCAAAAUUCAUCAUUUCCUAAGCAAAUUACUUGAAAUAACAAUCAAAAUAAUUAUCAAUAUUCCACAUGGAGAAUUCGGCCAAUGAUGGGUAAUGGGAGAAAAUGAAUUUUUCUUAUUGGUUUUUCAUGCUACACAUCAUUAACUAACUAAAAACAAUAACAUAUCUUAAAAUCUAACCAAAUCAAGCAUCAAAACUCCUUCCCCCAUGUCCGGCCAGCAAGGGAUUCAUCAUGUUUUUAUAAGAUUCAACCAUGGAAAAUCAAAAAGAAUGCAUGGGAAAGGUAGAUCUCAAGCUUUAUUGAAAAAGUCUUACCUUUUUCACUUGUUUCCUUGAAUUUUUCACACUUUCCCUUUGAAUUUUUCCACCUAGGGUUCUUGUUCUUUCUUUUCUUCCUUUGUUC